rnacentral:rRNA from 1 species
UACGUAGGUGGCGAGCGUUGUCCGGAUUUACUGGGCGUAAAGGGAGCGUAGGCGGACUUUUAAGUGAGAUGUGAAAUACCCGGGCUCAACUUGGGUGCUGCAUUUCAAACUGGAAGUCUAGAGUGCAGGAGAGGAGAAGGGAAUUCCUAGUGUAGCGGUGAAAUGCGUAGAGAUUAGGAAGAACACCAGUGGCGAAGGCGCUUCUCUGGACUGUAACUGACGCUGAGGCUCGAAAGCGUGGGGAGCAAACAGGAUUAGAUACCCUGGUA